rnacentral:rRNA from 1 species
AGAGUUUGAUCCUGGCUCAGGACGAACGCUGGCGGCGUGCUUAACACAUGCAAGUCGAACGGAAAGGCCCCCACUUUUUUGGUGGGGGUGCUCGAGUGGCGAACGGGUGAGUAACACGUGGGUGAUCUGCCCUGUACUUCGGGAUAAGCUUGGGAAACUGGGUCUAAUACCGGAUAGGACCAUGGUUUAGUGUCUCAUGGUGGAAAGAUUAUUGUUUUGGUGCAGGAUGAGCUCGCGGCCUAUCAGCUUGUUGGUGGGGUAAUGGCCUACCAAGGCGUCGACGGGUAGCCGGCCUGAGAGGGUGGACGGCCACAUUGGGACUGAGAUACGGCCCAGACUCCUACGGGAGGCAGCAGUGGGGAAUAUUGCACAAUGGGCGCAAGCCUGAUGCAGCGACGCCGCGUGGGGGAUGACGGCCUUCGGGUUGUAAACUCCUUUCGUUAGGGACGAAGCCACACCUUUUUUGGGUGUGGUGACGGUACCUUUGUUAAGAAGCACCGGCUAACUACGUGCCAGCAGCCGCGGUAAUACGUAGGGUGCGAGCGUUGUCCGGAAUUACUGGGCGUAAAGAGCUCGUAGGUGGUUUGUUGCGUCGUCUGUGAAAUUCCGGGGCUUAACUUCGGGGUGGCAGGCGAUACGGGCAUAACUAGAGUGCUGUAGGGGAGACUGGAAUUCCUGGUGUAGCGGUGGAAUGCGCAGAUAUCAGGAGGAACACCGAUGGCGAAGGCAGGUCACUGGGCUGUUACUGACGCUGAGGAGCGAAAGCGUGGGGAGCGAACAGGAUUAGAUACCCUGGUAGUCCACGCCGUAAACGUUGGGCACUAGGUGUGGGGGGCCUUUUCCGGGUCUUCCGCGCCGUAGCUAACGCAUUAAGUGCCCCGCCUGGGGAGUACGGCCGCAA